AGCGCAGGCGGGAAGACAAGUUGGAAGUGAAAUCUAUGGGCUCAACCCAUAAACUGCUUUCAAAACUGUUUUUCUUGAGUAGUGCAGAGGUAGGCGGAAUUCCCGGUGUAGCGGUGGAAUGCGUAGAUAUCGGGAGGAACACCAGUGGCGAAGGCGGCCUACUGGGCACUAACUGACGCUGAGGCUCGAAAGCAUGGGUAGCAAACA
rnacentral:rRNA from 1 species